CUCGGUCAUUGGGGUGUUUAGUUCUCCAAACGUCGUAUAUGUCAUAUUCCAUAAGUAAUUUGGUCAGCGCCUUGCAUUUGGAUGCGAGAGAUGCAUGUCUUUGGGUUUGUUGUGGUGCCGUCGUGUCUAGUUGGGCUUGUAAUAUAUGGUUUAAGUCUCCGCACAUCAUCAAAUAAGGCAUUUGUGGUGUUGGUAUUUUGGAGAGUACAUGAUGUAGGUAGUUACGUUGGUUGGAGUUCAUGCCAUAAAUUGUAACUAAUGUGUAUGUCUUGUUGUUGAUAGUGCAAUGUAGGAUAAUGUAUCUCCCUUGUGCAUCUUUUUUAAUUUGUAAUAAUUCGAAAGUGAGGGAGUUAUGUAGAAGUAUGGAUACUCCUCUGGCUUUGGAUGUGUGGG